AUUUCGAAUCCUUUGCACUGCUCAAUACUCUGUAGAAGAAAAGGAGCCGCCCCUCCCUCUCUCCGCCUCCAAAUGGGAACCUUUUCGCAAGAAGAAGGUCGUCAUGAGGGUCGGCUACGUCGGUACCGGCUACAGAGGUCUUCAGUUGCAGCGAGAUGAACACGAACUAUCUACUAUUGAAAAAGAACUGGAAACUGCAAUUUUCAAGGCUGGAGGAAUCCGUGACAGAAACUACGAGAAUCU